ACCGAGCCAUUGCUGAGAGCUUCACUACGCUUUAAUCAAUAAUCUCAGAAUGGGAAGCAGACUAGGAAGAAGAGUAGUUAACUUUGCUAAUCUUUCCAUAAAACUCCUCAUGCCUUCUUCUUUGUCCAAUAUUUCCAAAUUUCUAUCAAAACCAUUCCCUCCGCUUCAAAGGUUCAAUAUGGGUAUUUGAGUUUAUAUAUGUAACGUAUAAUCGUUAAUUAUCUUUUGAUAUUUAAUUAUUUAAAUCUUGCAGAUUGAGAUUAAGCGGGUUUUAGAAUCACUUUACGGAUUCGAGGUGGAGAAAGUCCGGACUCUAAACAUGGAGGGCAAGAUGAAGAAGCGAGGAGACUUAUGUGACCCUCAAAAACUCAUUGUCCGUAAACCCGGACCUUUACCCAAUAUGGAUAAUUAAAGCGGGCAAAAGGAGUUUGAAUAAGCAGUCUAAAUCGAGCAUUGUGGAGGACCCGGAAGCUAUAAAGAAGUCGCAUUGGCUUGAUGAAAAGAAAGAUGGCAGGAGAUUUAAUAGGCCGGAAGGGCGUACCUUUGGUUGCCGUGGUGGCAGUGAUGGUGAUGGAGCAGUGGCCACGAGCUCGGGGGCAAAAUCUCCAUGGAGCAGUAUGAGGUCUUUUGGGAGGUAACAUGUAUUAGUUUUCAAGAUUUAUUUAUGGGGAGCUGAAAUGAUGGCUAGAUGUUAUAAAAUGUCUCAGUAUGUUUAAUGGUAUAUGAUCUUGAAGUAAUUUUUGAGUCUGGUAGAUUUAUUGAUAUCAUUAUGGUGCAAAGAUGAUGGAAAAAGGAUUGCUAUGGCGUGAACUUUUCACUUGUAGCAUAGUGGUGAGUAUUCCCGCUUGUCACACAGGUGACCCGGGUUCGAUUCUUGGCAACGGGCUUUGAAUUUUUUGUGUACCUAGUUCCAAAGUUUCACUUAUUUACAUGAAAGAAUAAUGUCGGCAAAGUUAUAGUAUAGUAGAGAAUACUCCUGUCUAUCAUGUGGAUUACUUGGUUCGAUCUCUACCAAUGGUUAAAUUUUACCUUUUGUAUGCUAUUAGAGCUCUAGCUCAAGCACCCGCUCAAGCUCCAUCUCCUCGCGUGCUUAACGUGUUAUAAUUAACCGUGGCGCCAAUUGUAUAGAUGCUAGACGUCAAUGAGUUGUCAUACAGCUGGAAUAGUUGGUUAGAUUCCUUUUGUAUUUAUAUGGACAAAAUGUAUUAUUUCAC
rnacentral:lncRNA from 1 species